GGAUCUGUGGUCUAGCGGUAUGAUUCUCGCUUUGGGUGCGAGAGGUCCCGGGUUCAAUCCCCGGCAGGUCCC
rnacentral:tRNA from 1 species